GGGCAGUGAUGAGAAGAGAUGAAAGUCAUGCACCACUCUGAAGUUUUCAUUUGUGCUGAUAACACUCUUAUACCCAUUACUACUCUGAGCCC